rnacentral:rRNA from 1 species
AACGAACGCUGGCGGCGCGUCUUAAGCAUGCAAGUCGAACGGCAUGAGGAAGCUUGCUUCCUCAGAGAGUGGCGGACUGGUGAGUAACACGUGGGUGACCUACCCUUGAGAUGGGGAUAGCCGUUAGAAAUAGCGGAUAAUACCGAAUACGCUCUACGGACUCUGGUUUGUAGAGGAAACAGGCUACGGCCUGGCUCGAGGAUGGGCCCGCGUCCCAUUAGCUAGUUGGUGAGGUAAGAGCCCACCAAGGCGACGAUGGGUAUCCGGCCUGAGAGGGUGUACGGACACAUUGGGACUGAGAUACGGCCCAAACUCCUACGGGAGGCAGCAGCUAAGAAUAUUCCGCAAUGGACGAAAGUCUGACGGAGCGACGCCGCGUGGAUGACGAAGGCCGAAAGGUUGUAAAAUCCUUUUGCUGAUGAAGAAUAAGCGUGGUAGGGAAUGACCGCGUGAUGACAUUAGUCGGUGAAUAAGCCCCGGCUAACUACGUGCCAGCAGCCGG